rnacentral:rRNA from 1 species
CACGUAGGCGGAUAGGUAAGUCAGAUGUGAAAUCCCGGAGCUCAACUCCGGAACUGCAUUUGAUACUGCCUGUCUUGAGUGAGGUAGAGGGGGGUGGAAUUCCCGGUGUAGAGGUGAAAUUCGUAGAUAUCGGGAGGAACACCAGAGGCGAAGGCGACCCCCUGGGCCUCUACUGACGCUGAGGUGCGAAAGCGUGGGGAGCAAACA